rnacentral:lncRNA from 1 species
UCCAUUUAUAUUCACUAUCACCCUAUGUUUACAGAUUUAUCAUGAUAAAUUUCCAACAGACUGCAGUUAAACAUCUUCAGGAAGGGAAGUGUGAUCGACUGAAAAUGAAAAACAUGGUCGCAGUAUUUUGCAACUCUUCCUGUCAAGAGGUAGAGUCUAUUUCCUUACCCCUCAAAUCUGGGUGGCCUCGAGACUUGCUUUGACCAAUAGAAUAUGGUAGAAGUGACUCUACAAAUUUUGAGGCUAAGACUUAAGAGGCUUAGUUUCCACUCUGACCCUCCUGGCGUGCUGCCUGAGACUGCCCGAUAAGACUACCCCAUAAGAAGGCAAACAGCCCCCAGGAGGGUGAGAGGUCACGUGAAGGAGACCCAAGGUGCCCCAACCAACCAGCUCUGGACUGGAGGACCCAGGAAGUCAGUGAGUCCCUGCUGUGUGCCCGCGCUGGAGACAGAAAGAGCCCAGAACUUGGAGUCAGCCAGGCUAGUUCUAACUCCAGCCCUGAGACACAGACAAGUCCCCCUAAGCUCUUGGAGCCUCAUCUGAUCCUCACAAUGGUCCUACGAGGCAGAAAACCUCAUGACCCCAGUGCCCAUGAGGAAAUGGAAGCACAGAGAGGUUGGGUGACCUGCCUAAGGCCACACAGCUGAACAGUGGCAGAACCAGGAUUUGAACCUGGGAGUCAAUUCCAGAUCCCAUGCGCUUAGUAAAUUUCUCAGGAGUUCCAGAGACUGGGCUGAUUGAUGAAAGUUCCAGAAUUUAGGACUUGUUCCAAUAAAUGGUAUGAAUUAGUUCCCCUAUGUUUGUGAGAAAGAUCCCACUACUUUACUUUAAAAAAACAAAACGAACAAAAAAAAAAACUUCUUUUUAUACAGUGAGUCAGAGUCUUGCUGGAGUGCAGUGGUACAAUCUCAGCUCAC